rnacentral:rRNA from 1 species
CGCCUACGGGGGGCAGCAGUGAGGAAUAUUGGUCAAUGGCCGAAGGGCUGAACCAGCCAAGCCGCGUGAAGGAAUAAGGCCCUACGGGUCGUAAACUUCUUUAGUCAGGGAACAAAGGGUGCCACGCGUGGCGCUGUGAGUGUACCUGAAGAAUAAGCAUCGGCUAACUCCGUGCCAGCAGCCGCGGUAAUACGGAGGAUGCGAGCGUUAUCCGGAUUUAUUGGGUUUAAAGGGUGCGUAGGCGGUUUGUCAAGUCAGCGGUAAAAAUUCCGGGCUCAACCCGGUCCGGCCGUUGAAACUGGCGG